UGAUUGUAACAGGCUUUGUUAAACUCAUGGCGUGGCACAAGGCUUCCCUGACAGCACAUGAACAGUUUCACAGGCAUUUGCAUGGCCCUUCUGCUGCCUGACCACUUGAUGAACAUUGGGCAAGUCAUUCUGGAUCUCAGUCAACUUGGCCACCCAGGAGAUGGGUAUCUGAUCUGAGAGAGAGAGAUUUUUCUGUAGCCAGUGGAGUGAGAUGGAAAGGAAGGGAGCUGGCACAGGAUAAUAUGAUACAUCUGAAGAGACAUAUCUGAGGCUGUGUGGAGACCUCCAAAGAUUGUGAGCAAGAAGAAAACCAACAGGGUGCUGCUGUUUUUACAGAUCUGACCAUUACAUUGCAAAAUAUACAAGGACUGCCUUAGUGGAGCAUACCAACUGCAGAGUUUCUUCAGUUGUUUUUGAACAAGAGAAGUCUUAUCAUUUCCAGUGACGAACUGAUGCAAAAUAACAGGAUUUGAAGCAAACCCCACAAAGGUCAAGAAAAACCCUUCUGUUUUGGAUGUUACUGUACUAGGAAUCUUUAAUUGUGAGAAGUUUGGCUCUUGUUUUACAGGCAAUUCUCGUGUUUCUAGAUUGCUGCUCUUAG